CAGUUCGAUGAUGAUUACUGUUGCUUUGCCUGACUUUCUGAAUAAUGAGGGCAUCUUCAGUCACUACCUCUUCUGAGACAC
rnacentral:snoRNA from 1 species